CGGAAGGCGAAGAUCCGGACAAAGUUUAUGGUCUCUUCCUCUGCAGAGGGGAUGUUGCUGCCAAUCUCUGUCAGUCUUGCAUCCGUUCAGCUAGCAGCACGAUCAUAGAAAGAUGUCCAGGACAGAAAGAGGCAAUCAUAUGAAGUGACGGAUUUGUCGAGGAAUGUGACGGACUUGGUGAUCUUGUCAGAAAGCUUAUACGCAACCUUAAACGUUAGUGUCUCAAGUUCAGUGACCCUUUACGGGCUUGCACAGUGCACC